AGAAUCCGGAUAUAGAAGUGCAUCCGGGGACAUGGCGCACGAGCGCCAUGACGCAACUUCCGGGACGGGGGUUGGGCGUGAGGAGGUAUAGGCGGCACCUGCUAAGGGUUUAGGGAGUUCGGGAACCGCCACACCGGACACGUGCAGACACAGCGAGACCCAGCCCGCGCAGGAGGGACUGCGUAGCGGCCGAACCCACCGGCCGGAAGUCCCUGAAGAGGCACGGGUUCGCCGAGCUCGCGCUUCCUGACCGUGGGCACUCCGUCCGCGCGCCCAGGGAAGAGCGCGCGUGCGUGUGUACGUGUGUACGUGCGUGCGUGCGUGCGUCUGGCGAAAGGGGUGGGCGUGCCUGAGGGCGGCAGUGGCCCGCGCGGUCCCUUGUGCUCCCCGCCCCGUGUGCAGGGCUGUACUUUCUCGGAUCGGUACGUUUUCGUCGCGCCUGGAGAAACCGCCCAACCUCUGCGGCGUUUCCUUCCUCGGGCCCUGAGCCUGCGCUCUUUUGCCCUCGUCGGCCUCGCCGCUCUUGGUACCUUUCCAGCCAGGGCGGUUUUCCGGAGCUACGGGGCCAAUCCGACUGGUUGUGAGUAGGUCCGAAAGCCGCGGUUUAGGGCCCAGGGGACCCAGCACGCUUUGCUGACCCCCGCGAAGGCCGAACUCAAAAAAGCGGACGUUGACUGUGUUUUGCAGACGGGGAGCGUAAAACCCACAACGCUUGGAUCCCCGCUACCAAACAGUACCACAAAGUGUUCUGCCCCAGAGACAAGGUUUUGGGAACAAGCAUGUACUCUUGACUUUUUUUUCCUUACCAUCUUUGGUUCCUUUUAAGUAUUAUUAUUUUCGUUCAAGAUACACACUCCAGGGGUAGUUUGAAAGUGCUUUUGAAUUAUGUUCCUCCCAUGGCAAGAGCUUAUUACGCUUGGACCGCCUUAGCUGCACAGUCAUCAAUCCUGAUAAGCUCUUAACUGGAUCCUCUUAGCGUAGGCUGCCAACAAAAUGAAAAGUGUAUCAUAAAAUCCUUU